CUGGCAAACACACCUGUGAUUGGUGAGAUUACUGGAAUAACAUUGCUGCACCCAUAGAAGGCCCGACUCUCAGUCUCCAUUUAUUGCGCAAAUGAUUUCAUUGCCAUAUCUGCCAUUUGUUUGCGUUGGCCCGUGUAAAAUCAUAUCUCGUGUGUUGAUGGAUUACACGAUGGAGCCAGUAUGUGUCAUAUUAUGCAAGCUAUCAAAACCGCACUAGGUAAGAAAUCAAAUAGCAGUGAUUGUUUCCAACUGUGUUUUAUGAUUAAUCCAGACUUGUAAUGCUGAUUCAUAUCUUUUAGGAGUUUUUUCUGACUCUGCUGGCAGAUCUAUCGUCAACCACUCUCACCUCCGGGUUUGUUUGUGGUCUGGAUAGAUCCUUAUCAGCACAGGAGCCCUGUAGACUAAAGAGGGAUUGGGCUUGAUUUGUACUUCCCUCUUGACAAAUGACAUAAAUACACAUUAAGCAGUGAAAGCAUUUGUUUUAGGAACUCUUUAAAACACCUCCAGAGGCCAAGAAAUGCUCCAUAAAACAAAGACGUUGCAGUGCUUUUUAAGAUGGGAUGGGGAGUGGGGUGCAGAGGCAUGGAGUUGAGGUUUUGGAUGGCAGCAGAGGAACUCUGACCACAUGAAGACGCCUAGUAGCUUGCUCUGAAAGAUUUUGACUUUGUCAUUUCACAUCAUUUCAUUUCAUUUAUUUCAGGGUCUGAUGGUCUCAACCUCAGAUGUCAUACCCUUGGGCUGGCAAGAGUUUGUUUGAUCUUCGUCUGAUUAUAAUUGCACACUGGAAAGCAUUUCUUGAUCAGGGUUUUGGUGGUCUCCAGGAAGAGGGGGACGGAAAGGUUCACUUACAGGCUAUGAAUGACUCCAAUCAAAUGACUACUCUGCUAUGGCCUUCUCUCAGUAACAGACAACAUACUCAAAAGAGUUUGCUAGAGAGAAAGAGAGAGUGAGAACGAUAGCGUAACUCCAUGUGAGACAGAGGGGGAGGUGAACACAAGGAGGACCUGAAAAGGGGCUGUACAAACUAGCCAUAACAUACACACCGAAGCACUUGGAAGUACAGGUGAGUCUACCAUCAGCUCCAGACUUUCAUUGAGUUUCUCUUGGCAUUGUGUUAUCAAUGAACAGCUUUAUCACCUGUUGAAUUGCAAACUGCUUCCUUGAAGAACCUACUUUGUGAGGUAGCCAGCUGCAACCUGAAAGAAUGUGUUUGAAGUCGAUCUUUCUAAAUAUUUGGGUUGAAUAAUUGAGGACGUUAACUUUAUUCUCCUCCCGGUGGAGGGAUAAUCUAACUGGCAAUGGGCUUCAUGUGUUCCCUGUUUGGCUCUCCUUUGUCUUGCCUGCGUGUGGUUCUUAUAAUGAUAAAUUUGAGCAGUGUGCAGUAACAGUAGAAUGAAUAUCUGGUGCUGGAGUUUCUUAGCGACAGUAAUGACUUAUACAUUAGGCAGGGGCUCUGUUUAGCAGAGACGUCAUGCUGAGCAUCUGUCACUGACCAUUGGUGGCAUAAUUUGCAGGACUUUUUAAUGGUACUGAAGUUUUAUCUGCUAUUUGGAUCUGCUAGAUAAGUUUAGUGUUGGAUUAAUUGCUCUGUCAGAGUCCAAAAAGGCUAGUUUUUCUUUUUAUGUGUUUAUGGCUCUUUAAUGAGCCAUUUAAAAUUAAAUUAAAACGGUUACAGUAUUUG
ensembl:lncRNA